AUUGAACGCUGGCGGCAUGCCUAACACAUGCAAGUCGAGCGAGCGGCGGACGGGUGAGUAACGUAUGGGGACGUACCCGUUAGAGGGGGAUAACUGUUCGAAACGGCGGCUAAUACCGCAUAUUAUCCGACCAGCCCAUAUGUGAUGAGCUGGUUGGCGGGGUAAAGGCCCACCAAGGCGACGAUCAGUAGCGGGUCUGAGAGGAUGAUCAGCCACACUGGGACUGAGACACGGCCCAGACUCCUACGGGAGGCAGCAGUGGGGAAUAUUGGACAAUGGGCGCAAGCCUGAUCCAGCCAUGCCGCGUGUCUGAAGAAGGCCUUCGGGUUGUAAAGGACUUUUGUCGGGGAGGCGGUACCUGAAGAAUAAGCACCGGCUAACUACGUGCCAGCAGCCGCGGUAAUUC
rnacentral:rRNA from 1 species